GCCCGUUUAGCUCAGUGGUAGAGCGCGCCACUCGUAUUCGGUUCUCUGAGUCCCUCCGAUGGUGAGGUCGCUAGUUCAAACCUGGCAGUGGGCA